UCCCCCCUUUUCACUUUGCCAGUUGGACAACUUUCAUGUCCUCUUUGGUCAUUCAAGGGGGGUAUAACAAAAAUCCUUUUAAAACCCAAGCAAAUUCUUUAAUUUAGCUUGGAUCCUGUCAAAGGAGACACAA